UACGUAGGCAGCAAGCGUUGUUCGGAAUUACUGGGCGUAAAGAGUGUGUAGGCGGUGCACUAAGUUUGGUGUGAAAUCUCCCGGCUCAACCGGGAGCCUGCAUUGAAUACUGGUGUGCUCGAGGGCGGGAGAGGGUAGUGGAAUUCCAUGUGUAGCGGUGAAAUGCGUAGAUAUCGGAAGGAACACCAGUGGCGAAGGCGACUUACUGGACAACAACUGACACUGAGGCACGAAAGCAUGGGGAGCAAACAGG
rnacentral:rRNA from 1 species